UACGUAGGGGGCAAGCGUUGUCCGGAAUUAUUGGGCGUAAAGAGCGUGUAGGCGGUCCGGUAAGUCAGCUGUGAAAGUCAAGGGCUCAACCCUUGAAUGCCGGUUGAUACUGUCGGGCUAGAGUCCGGAAGAGGCGAGUGGAAUUCCAGGUGUAGCGGUGAAAUGCGUAGAUAUCUGGAGGAAUACCGGUGGCGAAGGCGGCAUCCUGGACCGGCAUUGACGCUGAGGAGCGAAAGCGUGGGGAGCAAACAGG
rnacentral:rRNA from 1 species